rnacentral:rRNA from 1 species
UAGGGAAUCUUCGGCAAUGGACGAAAGUCUGACCGAGCAACGCCGCGUGAGUGAAGAAGGUUUUCGGAUCGUAAAACUCUGUUGUUAGAGAAGAAAAAGGACGUAGGAAACUAACCGUCCCCUGCGGGUAUCUAACCAGAAAGCCACGGCUAACAACUUGCCAGCAGCCGCGGUAAUACGUAGGUGGCAAGCGUUGUCCGGAUUUAUUGGGCGUAAAGCGGGCGCAGGCGGUUUCUUAAGUCUGAUGUGAAAGCCCCCGGCUCAACCGGGGAGGGUCAUUGGAAACUGGGAGACUUGAGUGCAGAAGAGGAGAGUGGAAUUCCAUGUGUAGCGGUGAAAUGCGUAGAUAUAUGGAGGAACACCAGUGGCGAAGGCGGCUCUCUGGUCUGUAACUGACGCUGAGGCUCGAAAGCGUGGGGAGCAAACAGG